GUGCUCAUUUUGGUAGCACUUAUACUAAAAAUGGAAUGAUACAUAAAAGAUUAACAUGGCCCCUGCACCAGGAUGACAAACGAAUUAGUGAAGUGUUCUAUAUUUGU